CAGUCGCCGCGGUAAUACGAAGGGUGCAAGCGUUAAUCGGAAUUACUGGGCGUAAAGCGUGCGUAGGCGGUUUGUUAAGUCUGCUGUGAAAUCCCCGGGCUCAACCUGGGAAUGGCAGUGGAUACUGGCAAGCUAGAGUGUGGCAGAGGAUGGUGGAAUUCCCGGUGUAGCAGUGAAAUGCGUAGAGAUCGGGAGGAACAUCAGUGGCGAAGGCAGUCAUCUGGGACAACACUGACGCUGAGGCACGAAAGCGUGGGGAGCAAACAGGAUUAGAUACCCCCGUAGUCCCUGUCUCUUAUAC
rnacentral:rRNA from 1 species